rnacentral:lncRNA from 1 species
GAUAUUUAUGAAAAAUGAAGAGUAAAUUUUGGCUAUUUCUAUAAUUUAUACAAUUUCUUUUGUUCUUCAGUUCAAUCACUCAUGUAAAUUAAAUAAAAUGUGGUGUCCCUUGAGUGGAGAAAUUAUAGAGUGAUACUGUAUCACCACGUCAGCUGGUGAUACUCCCACUCAAAAUCUGCCACGUGUAUUUUUUUAAAAAUAAAUAAAAUAUAUUUUACAACUGGACUUUGGCUUCCAACUUUACCCUUCAACUUUAAUCACCCAAACCCCUCCCCACCGUCUUCCCUAUCCACCGUCUUCUUCCCUACGCUAUGCUUGCUAUCUGCAACACCACACGUCUUCC